AGCGAACGCUGGCGGCAGGCUUAACACAUGCAAGUCGAACGGAAGCACAGUAAGUGCUUGCUCUUAUGGGUGGCGAGAGGCGGACGGGUGACGUAUAUAUCGGAAUCUACUCUUUCGUGGGGGAUAACGUAGGGAAACCUACUCCAAUAUCGCAUAUCAUCUUCGGUUGAAAGCAGGGGAUCUUCUCACCUGGUGCGAUUGAACGAGCCGAUGUUGGACUAGUUAGUUGGCGGGGUAAAGGCCCACGAUGUCGACGAUCCGUAGCUGGUCUGAGAGGAUGAUCGGCCGCACUGGAGCUGAGACACGGACCAUGCUCCUGCGAGAGGCAGCAGUGGGGAAUGUUAGACAGUAGGCGCGAGCCUGGUCCAGUCGUACCGCGUGGGUGGAGGCGGCGUUCGGGUUGUGAAGCCCUUUUGUUGGGAGAGAACAGCAGCAGGUUGAUACCAAGCUGUUCUGACGGUACCCGAAGAAGAAGCACCGGCUAACUUCGUG
rnacentral:rRNA from 1 species